rnacentral:rRNA from 1 species
UACGGGGGGGGCAAGCGUUGUUCGGAAUUACUGGGCGUAAAGGGCUCGUAGGCGGCCAACUAAGUCAUACGUGAAAUCCCUCGGCUUAACCGGGGAACUGCGUCUGAUACUGGAUGGCUUGAGUUCGGGAGAGGGAUGCGGAAUUCCAGGUGUAGCGGUGAAAUGCGUAGAUAUCUGGAGGAACACCGGUGGCGAAGGCGGCAUCCUGGACCGAUACUGACGCUGAGGCGCGAAAGCCAGGGGAGCAAACGGG